GGCGGCAUGCCUUACACAUGCAAGUCGAACGGCAGCACGGGAGUAAUCCUGGUGGCGAGUGGCGAACGGGUGAGUAAUACAUCGGAACGUGUCCUGUAGUGGGGGAUAGCCCGGCGAAAGCCGGAUUAAUACCGCAUACGAUCUACGGAAGAAAGCGGGGGAUCCUUCGGGACCUCGCGCUAUAGGGGCGGCCGAUGGCAGAUUAGCUAGUUGGUGGGGUAAAGGCCUACCAAGGCGACGAUCUGUAGCUGGUCUGAGAGGACGACCAGCCACACUGGGACUGAGACACGGCCCAGACUCCUACGGGAGGCAGCAGUGGGGAAUUUUGGACAAUGGGGGAAACCCUGAUCCAACAAUGCCGCGUGUGUGAAGAAAGGCUUCGGGUUGUNAAGCACUUUUGUCC
rnacentral:rRNA from 1 species